rnacentral:lncRNA from 1 species
AUCGGCCUGUGUGACCCUGAGGUGUCUGGGAUGACCCCAGCCUGCUCCAGUCGCCUGAUCAGGUUUGGAAAUACUGCAAUGGGCUUUGUGCACCUUGGAUGGCGCUCCCUGAGCUCCCCUGACUCUUCUGAAUUUUAUUUGAAAUGCUAUACAACAGCUUUUACUUUGAGGAGUAAAAACAACAAAGGUGAAGGAAGAUGACACAGAAAAGAGGAGAGUCCCUGGGUCUCAGCUCUCCAGGAGCAGAAGUUCUUCCUCCCUGGAGAGUGCUGCAGUCCAGCGCGCAUGAGCAGAGCUGGCAGCCGAGCUCUAGAAGAGACCUGUUGAACUCUUCAAGAUCGAAAAAUUCAGUCCAUGAGCAGCUCUGUAUAGUCGAGAACAAUUCCUUCUGGUGACAAAAUGUGGACAUAAAUUAUUUUGGUGGUUCUGUGCUCACAUGCGAGAUAUUAAAAAUGUAUUACUUAAAAAAAUAAGAAUCUACUUCUUGUUACAAGCUUAGGUAGCCUCCCUUCUGGGAGCACAAGGUCAGGAGCCCAAACCUGUGAGAGGGUGGCCCAGGCAUCAGCAGGCCUCAGAAACAGGACAACUAGUCAUUUCACCUGGACCUCUGAUACUUUGUAAUAAAGAGGAGUUUCUUUUUAUUUAUUGUAACUUUCAAAGAAGUUAAACACACAAAAAUGCGCAUGGGGUGGGGGUGGGGGUUGGAAUGUUCACAAUUUUGAUAACCACAGUUGUAAAUAGAAACAUUCAUUUCUCAUAAGAUUAUAAAUAUUUGAUACUCCAACUGUAAAACGCACGUUUUAUAAACUAAACUAAAAAAAAAAAGAAGAAAUUUGCUUCCUGCUAAAAAGGCCUGUCAUUUCAUUGAGUUUCCUAAGCAGCAGAUGGUUAUUCACACACUUUUAAAUUACAACGUUUGUUUUUAUAGUUUCCUUUUCAAAAAGGUUGACACUGUUAUGUACAAAGUGAAACUAUUAUCGAAGUGAAAUAAAGACUUUAAGGCAAAGAGAGAAGUCCGCUGCCGCCCGCAGUGCUCAGCUGGGCCGUGGGCAAAUUCCCUGGGCAGCCCAAUUCUGGCCUUGAUGAACAUUUGGACACCUUUUAUGGACACUAAACAG